CGGUUAAGCUAAUAAGAGCACACGGAGGAUGCCUAGGCGCCAGGAGCCGACGAAGGACGUGGCGAACAACGAAACUGCCUCGGGGAGCUGUAAGCAAGCUUUGAUCCGGGGGUGUCCGAAUGGGGAAACCCAGCUGUGGUAAUUCGCAGUUACUCAUUUCUGAAUACAUAGGAAAUGUAGAGGCAGACCAGGGGAACUGAAACAUCUAAGUACCCUGAGGAAGAGAAAACAAUAGUGAUUCCGUCAGUAGCGGCGAGCGAACGCGGAACAGCCUAAACCAAGGGGCUUGCCUCUUGGGGUUGUGGGACGUCUCACAUGGAGUUACAAAGGAAUAUGGUAGGUGAAGAGGUCUGGAAAGGCCCGCGAUAGAGGUAAAAGCCCUGUAGCCUAAACUGUGUUCUCUCCGAGACGGAUCCCGAGUAGUGCGGGGCACGUGAAACCCCGUAUGAAUCCAGCAGGACCAUCUGCUAAGGCUAAAUACUACCUGGCGACCGAUAGUGAAACAGUACCGUGAGGGAAAGGUGAAAAGCACCCCGGAAGGGGAGUGAAAUAGAACCUGAAACCGUGUGCUUACAAAAAGUCAGAGCCCGAUCUAUGGGUGAUGGCGUGCCUUUUGUAGAAUGAACCGGCGAGUUACGUUUAACAUGCAAGGUUAAGGUGAGAAGCCGGAGCCGCAGCGAAAGCGAGUCUGAAUAGGGCGACUGAGUAUGUGGACGUAGACCCGAAACCGUGUGAUCUACCCCUGUCCAGGGUGAAGGUGCGGUAACACGCACUGGAGGCCCGAACCCACGCAUGUUGAAAAAUGCGGGGAUGAGGUGGGGGUAGCGGAGAAAUUCCAAUCGAACUCGGAGAUAGCUGGUUCUCCCCGAAAUAGCUUUAGGGCUAGCCUCGGUGAAUGGAGUGGUGGAGGUAGAGCACUGAUUGGGUGCGGGGCCCGCAAGGGUUACCAAGCUCAGUCAAACUCCGAAUGCCAUUAACUUCUUGCCGGGAGUCAGACAGUGAGUGCUAAGAUCCAUUGUCAAAAGGGAAACAGCCCAGACCAUCAGCUAAGGUCCCCAAGUGUGUGUUAAGUGGGAAAGGAUGUGGAGUUGCACAGACAACCAGGAUGUUGGCUUAGAAGCAGCCACCAUUGAAAGAGUGCGUAAUAGCUCACUGGUCGAGUGACUCUGCGCCGAAAAUGUAACGGGGCUAAACACACCACCGAAGCUAUGGCUAGAUGCUUUGCAUCUGGGGUAGGGGAGCGUUGUAUGUGGGUUGAAGGUGUACCGUAAGGAGCGCUGGACAGCAUACAAGUGAGAAUGCCGGUAUGAGUAACGAAAAGAUCAGUGAGAAUCUGAUCCGCCGAAAGCCCAAGGUUUCCUGAGGAAGGCUCGUCCGCUCAGGGUAAGUCGGGACCUAAGGCGAGGCCGAAAGGCGUAGUCGAAGGACAACAGUUUGAAAUUACUGUACCACCGUAAUCCGCUAUGAGCGAUGGGGUGACGCAGGAGGGUAGUGACGCGGACUGAUGGAUGUCCGUCUAAGCAGUGAGGCUGGUGUGUAGGCAAAUCCGCACACCGUAAGGCUGGGCUGUGAUGGGGAGCGAAAAUUGUAGUAGCGAAGGUCAUGAUCUCACACUGCCAAGAAAAGCCUCUAGCCAGGAGAAGGUGCCCGUACCGCAAACCGACACAGGUAGGCGAGAAGAGAAUUCUAAGGCGCGCGGAAGAACUCUCGUUAAGGAACUCGGCAAAAUGACCUCGUAACUUCGGGAGAAGAGGUGCCUCGGUAGGGUGAAUAGCCCGAGGGGGCCGCAGUGAAAAGGCCCAAGCGACUGUUUAGCAAAAACACAGGUCUGUGCGAAGCCGCAAGGCGAAGUAUACGGGCUGACGCCUGCCCGGUGCUGGAAGGUUAAGGGGAGUGGUUAGGAGCAAUCCGAAGCUGUGAACCGAAGCCCCAGUAAACGGCGGCCGUAACUAUAACGGUCCUAAGGUAGCGAAAUUCCUUGUCAGGUAAAUUCUGACCCGCACGAAUGGCGUAACGACUUGGGCGCUGUCUCAACGAGAGAUCCGGUGAAAUUUUAAUACCUGUGAAGAUGCAGGUUACCCGCGACAAGACGGAAAGACCCCAUGGAGCUUUACUGCAGCUUGAUAUUGAAUUUGGGUACGAUCUGUACAGGAUAGGUGGGAGCCGUUGAGGCAGGAGCGCAAGCUUCUGCGGAGGCGCCGUUGGGAUACCACCCUGAUCGUAUCUAGGUUCUAACCUAGUACCCUAAGCGGGUACGGGGACCGUGUCAGGCGGGCAGUUUGACUGGGGCGGUCGCCUCCUAAAGAGUAACGGAGGCGUUCAAAGGUUCCCUCAGAAUGGUUGGAAAUCAUUCGCAGAGUGCAAAGGCAUAAGGGAGCUUGACUGCGAGACCUACAAGUCGAGCAGGGACGAAAGUCGGACUUAGUGAUCCGGUGGUACCGCAUGGAAGGGCCAUCGCUCAACGGAUAAAAGCUACCCUGGGGAUAACAGGCUUAUCUCCCCCAAGAGUCCACAUCGACGGGGAGGUUUGGCACCUCGAUGUCGGCUCAUCGCAUCCUGGGGCUGAAGUAGGUCCCAAGGGUUGGGCUGUUCGCCCAUUAAAGCGGUACGCGAGCUGGGUUCAGAACGUCGUGAGACAGUUCGGUCCCUAUCUGUCGUGGGCGCAGGAAAUUUGAGAGGAGCUGUCCUUAGUACGAGAGGACCGGGAUGGACGUACCGCUGGUGCAUCAGUUGUUCCGCCAGGAGCAUGGCUGAGUAGCUACGUACGGACGGGAUAAGCGCUGAAAGCAUCUAAGCGUGAAGCCCCCCUCAAGAUGAGAUUUCCCAAUUAGUAAGACCCCUUGAAGACGACGAGGUAGAUAGGUUGGAGGUGGAAGUGCAGUAAUGCAUGGAGCUGACCAAUACUAAUCGGUCGAGGGCUUAUCCAAAA
rnacentral:rRNA from 1 species